rnacentral:misc_RNA from 1 species
UAAUCGCUCAUGAUGGCGGUCUCCUGCAUUCCUUAAAUUCAGUAAUCAACUUUUUUUAAUGAAAAAUUAUGUUAACAUUUAAUUUCAAUGCCUAAACUAGGAGUAUUUUUAGUUUCUUUAUGUUAUCUUGCAUAGAUAUCUCUGAUUUGAAUGCAGAAAUAAAAUCAAUCAAUAAUGUCGACUCCUUAAAUGUAGUCAAGCUCAAACCCAAUAUACCUAACUUUUCAAGCAAUUUUUUUUAAAUAUUCUGGAGCAAAUCAUGGAAUUCUCUUUCUCAGAAUUAUACGAAAUCACUAAACCCUCACCUCGUUCAAGAGGAAUUAUAUAUAAGCAAAAAUAUUUUCGAAUAAGUACCCUCCUCAAUCAUUUACAAUGACUUGAAUAAUUAAGAUUACUUUGUAUCAUUAUUUAUAUGUAGUUACAUUCUGAUAGGUUUGGAGUUUGUUUUAACAUACUCCUAAUUAAUUUUCUCAUUGUUCUUGCAUUUCCUGUUUUGAUUCAUUUCGUUAUUAAUAAUAAUACUAUUUUGUUAAGUAAAAGUUGGUGUGUGAAGUAUAUGAGAGGGCUAAGUUUUUUAUUCGUGACGUACGUCAUAUGCGAUCAACUCCAUACAGUGAAAUAAAUUCAAUAAACUUCAUUUGUUUUUAAUGGAGCAUGGGGUAGAUACUCAUAAAAUAAGGUAUGUAACGUAUUCUGAUGAUAUGUCCAAAGCACAGCAUCACUUCGGCAUCACUUGAGAAAAGAACUUUUUUUUUCGGAAAUUCAUAUCACAUGACAUUUACAUGGCACAGGUCGACAAUACUGCAUUGAGAUAUAUGAGAAAAAAAUCUCAAUGUAAAUAUGAAGAGAGUAUCACACAUGUCAUAUGUAUGAAAUAACACUGCCCAUGACAUUGGACAUAUUAUCAUUCGUGUUGACAUGUCCAUAUUAAUUAGUGCCAAUUUGUUUCUCAUGCAUACUGAACAGUUGCUCGAAAUUUCUUCAAAUGGUGUCGGAUGUAUAGUUUGCUGUUACAAGUAACUUAAUAUUGUGAUUAUAUUUAACUCUUUUAUAGAGUUCGUCAAUGUUAUUUGAGGAAUCAAAUGAAAGGACUUAGGUGGUCGGAAGAGGCUAUUCUGAAUGAAAACCGAUAUAUCAUAUAGUGGAAAACAUCACAAUCCGAAUUUGAAAGUAUUAUUAUAUCUGUUAUAGCAUGUUAAUAGCUCUAUGGUUAUAGCAUCACAAUGCCAUUGGAACACUGGGCGCCGUAUACUCCACGUGGCGAAAUGAUCAAAUUACUGCCAAUUUGUCUCUCAAUCAUACUCAAAAGUUGCCUCUAAAUUAUCUUACUUAUUCUUCAAUGGUAUACUCGGAUGUACAUUUUGCAGUUUCAAUUAACAUUGUAUUUACUAGAGUUUGACAAUGUUAUUUGAAGAAUCAUGCAAUGAAAUGAGAAUAUAUAGGUGGUCGGAAGAGGCUAUUCUGAAUGAAAAACCGAUAUAUAUCAUGUAGUGGAAAACAUCUCAAUCCGAAUUUGAAAGUAUUAUCAUAUAUCUGUUAUAGCAUCACAAUGCCAUUGAACACUGGGCGUCGUAUUCCACGUGGCGAAAUGAUCAGAUUAUUGCCAAUUUGUCUCUCAAACAUACUCAAAAGUUGCCUCUAAAUUAUCUUACUUAUUCUUCAAUGGUAUACUCGGAUGUACAUUUUGCAGUUUCAAUUAACAUUGUAUUUACUAGAUUUCGACAAUGUUAUUUGAAGAAUCAUACAAUGAAAGUAGAAUUCAUGUGGUCGGAAGAGGGCCGGUUCUCUGAAUCAAAACAGUUACUAAACAUCACAAUCUGAAUGGGAAAGUAUUGUCCCACAUCUCUUAUAGCAUCACACUUUCAUUGAACAUAAAAUAUUGGGCACCAUUAAUUUUAUUGAAAUACCCGCCAGUGGCAUGUUGCACAUCGCCAUUUUCGUAAACAUCGCCAUUUCACGGAACCCAAGUACAUGCGUUGAUUUCGUCCAAGACCAACACGAACAAGUUUGCUAGUUUUCUUGCAAGUAGGCCUACAUUGUCUGCCAGUGGUACUUUUAUUUGAGAACUGAACUAUGCCCAAGUACAAGCAACCGCGGUUGAAAAUCACCACUAUUCGAAAUGGGCGGAUUUGCAAGAGAUACAUCAGUGCUCGGCCUCCUUUAAUGAAUCAACAACAUACAUCCACUUUUGAAGAGCAGCCACUUCAAGCCGGAGCAGAUAAUACACAAGCUAAUACAGAUGUACGACCUAACAAGAAUGGAGCAGAAGAAAGAGAGUCUUGGGAUAAGAUCAAGAUGCCCAAGUACAAGCAACCACGGUUGAAAGUCACCACUAUUCGAAAUGGGCGGAUUUGCAAUAGAUACAUCAGUCCUCGGCCUCCUUUAAUGAAUCAACAACAUACAUCCACUUUUGAAGAGCAGCCACUUCAAGCCGGAGCAGAUAAUACACAAGCUAAUACAGAUGUACGACCUAACAAGAAUGGAGCAGAAGAAAGAGAGUCUUGGGAUAAGAUCAAGGUUAACAGUCAAUAGUGUAAAUUUUAGGCCCACCGCAGUAUCAUCAAAACAAACCGUCCUACAAAUGCGUAGUUACCCCCCCCCCCCCUGUGUAAGUUAUCGACGGGGGAGGGACCUUUGGAAAAGAGGGAGAUAAGAAAAAAAUAGUUGA